UACAGAGGGUGCAAGCGUUAAUCGGAAUUACUGGGCGUAAAGCGUGCGUAGACGGUUAUGUAAGUCAGAUGUGAAAGCCCCGGGCUUAACCUGGGAAUGGCAUUUGAGACUGCAUAGCUAGGGUGCGGAAGAGGGAAGCGGAAUUUCCGGUGUAGCGGUGAAAUGCGUAGAUAUCGGGAGGAACACCAGUGGCGAAGGCGGCUCGCUGGGCCGGUCCUGACACUGAGACGCGAAGGCGUGGGGAGCGAACGGG
rnacentral:rRNA from 1 species